AGCGAACGCUGGCGGCAGGCCUAACACAUGCAAGUCGAACGGAUCCUUCGGGAUUAGUGGCGGACGGGUGAGUAACACGUGGGAACGUGCCCUUUGGUUCGGAACAACUCAGGGAAACUUGAGCUAAUACCGGAUGUGCUCUUCGGGGGAAAGAUUUAUCGCCAUUGGAGCGGCCCGCGUCUGAUUAGCUAGUUGGUGAGGUAACGGCCCACCAAGGCGACGAUCAGUAGCUGGUCUGAGAGGAUGAUCAGCCACACUGGGACUGAGACACGGCCCAGACUCCUACGGGAGGCAGCAGUGGGGAAUCUUGCGCAAUGGGCGAAAGCCUGACGCAGCCAUGCCGCGGGAAUGAUGAAGGUCUUAGGAUUGUAAAAUUCUUUCAGCGGGGACGAUAAUGACGGUACCCGCAGAAGAAGCUCCGGCUAACUUCGU
rnacentral:rRNA from 1 species